rnacentral:rRNA from 1 species
GUCCACACCGUAAACGGUGGGCACUAGGUGUUGGGGACCUUGUCCCUUCAGCGCCGCAGCUAACGCAUUAAGUGCCCCGCCUGGGGAGUACGGUCGCAAGAUUAAAACUCAAAGAAAUUGACGGGGCCCGCACAAGCGGUGGAGUAUGUGGUUUAAUUCGAGGCAACGCGAAAACCUUACCUAGGCUUGACAUCCCCGCGCUACCCCAGAGAAAUUUGGGGUUCCCUUCGGGGACGCGGUGACAGGUGCUGCAUGGCUGUCGU